rnacentral:rRNA from 1 species
AUUGAACGCUGGCGGCAUGCCUUACACAUGCAAGUCGAACGGCAGCACGGGUGCUUGCACCUGGUGGCGAGUGGCGAACGGGUGAGUAAUACAUCGGAACGUACCUUAUCGUGGGGGACAACGCAGCGAAAGCUGUGCUAAUACCGCAUACGCCCUGAGGGGGAAAGCGGGGGAUCGCAAGACCUCGCGCGAUUAGAGCGGCCGAUGCCUGAUUAGCUUGUUGGUGGGGUAAAAGCCCACCAAGGCGACGAUCAGUAGCUGGUCUGAGAGGACGAUCAGCCACACUGGGACUGAGACACGGCCCAGACUCCUACGGGAGGCAGCAGUGGGGAAUUUUGGACAGUGGGGGCAACCCUGAUCCAGCAAUGCCGCGUGAGUGAAGAAGGCCUUCGGGUUGUAAAUCUCUUUUGUCAGGGAAGAAACACCGGCUCUAACACAGUCCGGGAAUGACGGUACCUGAAGAAUAAGCACCGGCUAACUACGUGCCAGCCGCCGCUGUAA